GACGAACGCUGGCGGCGUGCCUAAUACAUGCAAGUUGAGCGCUGAAGGUUGGUACUUGUACCCACUGGAUGAGCAGCGAACGGGUGAGUAACGCGUGUGGAAUCUGCCUUUGAGCGGGGGACAACAUUUGGAAACGAAUGCUAAUACCGCAUAAAAACUUUAAACACAAGUUUUAAGUUUGAAAGAUGCAAUUGCAUCACUCAAAGAUGAUCCCGCGUUGUAUUAGCUAGUUGGUGAGGUAAAGGCUCACCAAGGCGAUGAUACAUAGCCGACCUGAGAGGGUGAUCGGCCACAUUGGGACUGAGACACGGCCCAAACUCCUACGGGAGGCAGCAGUAGGGAAUCUUCGGCAAUGGACGAAAGUCUGACCGAGCAACGCCGCGUGAGUGAAGAAGGUUUUCGGAUCGUAAAACUCUGUUGGUAGAGAAGAACGUUGGUGAGAGUGGAAAGCUCAUCAAGUGACGGUAACUACCCAGAAAGGGACGGCUAACUACGUG
rnacentral:rRNA from 1 species